AAAACUGGGGAACUUGGAAGUCUCCCGAAGGAGCAGCUGAAGCCACAGACCCCAUUUCUACCCUCCCUACGGUCGAAGGGAUCUGGGCCCCAAUCUUCGGUUCACCCAAGGGUACAAACGUGGUUCGGAAAUCAUCACGUGACCCGAAACAACGACCUAUGCUGUGGGCGAGCGCGUGGGACGAGGAGAUGAAACGUGGGAGCAUCGCAUUCUUUGAGAUUCCAAAGGCGUCGGAGAUCAACGGCGCAGAUGUUUUCUCCGGUUCUUCCGUUUGUUUCCCCGAGCGGUUUGACGGGUGGGUGCAUCGUGUCGCUGUUUCGUCGUCUUGUGGUUCGGAUAAGCACGGGGGAAGGAAGAUAUUUAUUCCUACACAAGCAGGGGCCCACACCUCUCGCCCAAUCGUUUGACGGAAUCACAUAAGAAGAGCUAUUUAUCGGGUGUUGCUUCAGUUGAUGCUGCCAUGGCGAGAAGCUCCCGGUCUUCCAUCACACCUGCAGGUACAACUCUUGAAACCUCGACCGGAAGAUAGGAGCUGCGCAAAUCUUAAUGGUGGACCGAUUCGUGGACGACCAUGGGUGUUCUGCUCCUCGCCUCACCUACUUCCCACCGCCGGGGACGAAGGUUCCGGCGUAGCCGACUCCCAUGAGGAUGAAGGACAAGGCCAGAGGGUAAAUGUAGAUGAAGUAUCGAUCGGUGUUAUGUACAAAAUCGUAGGUCGCACAGGCCACGAGGAAGGCCCCAAUGCCAAUCUCGUCAAACUGGAUCCUACAACAAAGGAGUGCAGGUCUUUACCGAACGAAAUGGCAGGCGUGGAGGAGCUACAGAAGAAGGAAGAGAACAAGAUUACCUCUCCCAGCACUUGGUCUUGGAUUUCUUGGGUGCUGCUGCAGCAGCUGCUGGUUUCGUCUUCAUCGUGUCUCCUAAUUUCUCGGUGACGAUCCAUUCGUUCACUCGGUUGGCUUCUGUGAGGCCGAUGAAGACCGCUUUGCACCGGUGCCAUGACAUGACGUUCUCGAACAGUAUCCAGAAGAUGAUCAAGUGAAUGGAGCUGAAACGAUGGCGAACAGACGUCAACAGGGUAUGGAAAGCGGUGCCUAGAUGGAGAAAUGGGCAUCGUGGCGAAGAGAGUCCGAACCUUGGAGUGGCGACUGCGCUGAGAAGAGUGAUGGCUGAGGGAAUGUAAAUGACUCCCCAUUUGGGAAUUUGGAUCUCGGGGAAGAAGCAGGACAGCGGAAUAAUCAUGCAGUAGAAGAAGAAGGUGACGUUGUGAGCUAUCACUCUCCGAGCAAAGAAGAAGUUGUAGAGCAUGAAGAACUUCUUCACCAUGGACACUUUCUGCGGCACAAAAGCGAAAAGAUUUGAACUCUUUCUUUCUCCCUUUUAAAUCUUCAUCAUUGUUGUGCAGUAAAAUGAGCUGACCUUGGCAGUGAUGAUCUCCACGGCCAUCUUCUUGAACAGAUUUGCAGGUCCACAAGACCACCGGUGCUGCUGAAAUCGAUAUGCUUUGAAGGUGCUCGGUAGCUCAUUCUUGACCUGUUCAACAAGAACAGCAUUGUCGGACGCAGAAAGAUGUGGCAUGCACUUAAUUCUACUAGAUACAAUUCCUCUGUUCGAGUCGAAGAACUUCAAUGUCCGACGUGAUUAGUAUACCUUGACGUUGCCGACGUAUAAGAACUUCCAUCCUGCAAGACUUGCUCGAACUGCUAAAUCCAUGUCUUCCACGGUUGUUCUUUCCUUCCACCCUUCAACCUCCACCAUUGCAGAGAUUCGCCAUACUCCGGCAGUUCCUGUGUUCGAAACAAGAUCGGGUGAUCCUUCUGGCACAGAGUCAGCAGUGAAGUAAGCUGGGACUCACCAUUAAAACCGAAGAACUCGAUUGUCGAUGAACCAGCUUGUUGUUCGACCUUGAAAUGAUAGUUCAGUGACAUCUCUUGUAUCUUCGUCAUCAAGCAUUCAUCAGCGUUCACUGCAUCAGCACUUACGAUGAACUUUGUCAGUGGAUUAUCCCCUUUUCUCAUCGCCUGCAUGAUUCGACGACGACGACGACGACUUGGGAACAAGCUUACCGAACUUCCAGCGAGCUUGGACGAGAGCGAUCUCAGGGUUGUGCAUCAGGAAAGGGACUGUUCUCACGAGGAAGUCGGAAGCAGGCUGGAAAUCGGCGUCGAAGAUGGCGACAUAGUCGCAUUGCCGCACGUAGUCGAUCUCCAUCGCCUCCUUCAUCGCCCCUGCUUUGUACCCGUUCCUGUUGUCUCUCGAGAUGUAAUGCACAGUGAUCCCCUUUCUGAUCCAUUUCUCGCACUCA